AUUGAACGCUGGCGGCAGGCCUAACACAUGCAAGUCGAGCGGAUGAAGGGAGCUUGCUCCUGGAUUCAGCGGCGGACGGGUGAGUAAUGCCUAGGAAUCUGCUUAGUAGUGGGGGAUAACGUCAGGACACCGGCGCUAAUACCGCAUACGUCCUGAGUGAGAAAGUGGGGCAUCUUCGGACCUCACGCUAUCAGAUGACCCUAGGUCGGAUUAGCUCGUUGUUGGGGUAUAGGCCUACCAAGGCGACGAUCCGUAACUGGUGUGAGUGGAUGAUCAGUCACACUGGAACUGAGAAACGGUCCAGACUCCUACGGGAGGCGGCAGUGGGGAAUAUUGGACAAUGAGCGGAAGCCUGAUCCAGCCAUGCCGCGGGGGGGAAGAAGGUCUUCGGAUUGUAGAGCACUUUAAGUUGGGGUGAAGGGCAGUAAGUUAAUACCUUGCUGGUUUGACGUUACCAACAGAAUAAGCACCGGCUAACUUCGUG
rnacentral:rRNA from 1 species